AAUACUCUAACUUGUUUUUAAAUGGGAGCAGAUGCCUCUGUUUCUUGAGCUGACUUCCAGAUUCUGAGAAAUAAAUGAAGAGUGGAGGCUUGUUUUGGUAGAGGCUGAGAAAAGGAGUUGGCCAUAUUUGCCCUUCAGAACUUCGUGUCAUCCCCCAGCUCCCCAACGGCAGGGCCACAUUCUUUCACAGGACGGAGUUGGGGCAGAUUAUGGCUUCCUCUGGAUUGGAUUUCCCUUGGCUUCCCUGAGGGCAAUCCCCCGAGGAAGCACAUCCUGGAGCCAAACUCACCCAAUGAACCACAGCAACAGCUCCUAGGAGAAUGAAGAGUGUGAAUGGAUGGCCUUUUCAAAAUGAUGAGCCUGGAAGAGUUACAGACUCUGGCCCGAAAGAACCAAAGUUGAAGGUAGAGAUGUUUUAAGGAUGAGCAGAGCAGAACAACUUAGCAGUGGGAUGUUAAAGGCAACAUGAAUCAAACAUGGUAAUUAGAAACCAGGAAGACUGAGAAGGAAUCAAAUUUGCAGCAGCUCAGUAAGUGGUAGACUGGGAACAAGAAGCCAGUUCUCUGGGCUCUUGAAGCAAGGCCCUGCCACGUUGUCUUUCCCCAGGAGAGGAGGAAACUGGGGAGGGAAUCAUGUUCCAGCAGUGAAGAACAAAGGCAGUUUUUUGGGGAUUUACAUACGCCAUCUCCUACAAAGUUAAAAAAUUUUCUUUUCCUGAAAGACUACAAUCAAGAUACAAACAUGUACAAUGGGUGAAGUGGAUUAACAAGUUUGUGUCAUGUUAAUUAUAUAUUUCAAUAAAGAUAAUUU
rnacentral:lncRNA from 10 species